CCUACGGGUGGCAGCAGUGAGGAAUAUUGGUCAAUGGACGAGAGUCUGAACCAGCCAAGUAGCGUGAAGGAUGACUGCCCUAUGGGUUGUAAACUUAUUUUAUAUGGGAAUAAAAUGUUCCACGUGUGUGAUUUUGUAUGUACCAUAUGAAUAAGGAUCGGCUAACUCCGUGCCAGCAGCCGCGGUAAUACGGAGGAUCCGAGCGUUAUCCGGAUUUAUUGGGUUUAAAGGGAGCGUAGGUGGAUUGUUAAGUCAGUUGUGAAAGUUUGCGGCUCAACCGUAAAAUUGCAGUUGAAACUGGCAGUCUUGAGUACAGUAGAGGUGGGCGGAAUUCGUGGUGUAGCGGUGAAAUGCUUAGAUAUCACGAAGAACUCCGAUUGCGAAGGCAGUUCACUGGACUGCAACUGACACUGAGGCUCGAAAGUGUGGGUAUCAAACAGGAUUAGAUACCCGAGUAGUC
rnacentral:rRNA from 1 species